GUCGUCUCGCACAACCCCCUCCUCUCCCCGACCUCUGUGCUCUUUCUCCCAAUCUAGGCAGCUGGGCGUAUCCUUCCCAGCAGCGCCGCCGACCACGACAUCGACCUCGACCAGCGGCCCCCUCACUCUUUCUCGAUCUCUAGUGCCAGCGCGCAUAGCGAAACGACAUCACACUCUCUAUUGAUUUACCUACCACGACGAUGUGCUCGGAGCCGUCCUUUCAAGGUGGAACGCAACUGCUGCUGUUGUCAACUCCCGAUCCCGAUCGAAGCUCGCCCAAUCCCGAUCGAGGUCCACCCGCCCAAUCCAGCGACCAGAGGAGAGGAGCAGCCGGUGCUGUCGAGGCCCCGAGGGGAUUUAGCGGACGCCAGCCGCGCGUGGGAUCCAGGAUCAAGGGAGCCGACGCAACGCGCGCGAGGGAACCGGCGGUCCAGGGGAACCAGCCAAGGCGAGGUGCCCCGGCCGGUCGAUGCGCUGCGGUUCGUCACCUGGCUACGGGGCAUGCUUCACCACGCCGCCUUCUGGGAGAGAGAGGCUGCUGCCGGGCGCCGGCGCUGGCGUGCAGGACGGAGUCGCCUCUCCAAGCGCCAGUUGUUGUUCGCGUCGUCGGGAGCGCGUUCGCAGCGGGCCGUGCCAGCCGUCUCUCACCAAUGUCGUGCCUGAGGGCUUUGCUGGUUGGGUCGCCGGUGGAGGACGAGGCCAAGCUUGCUCCGCUCUUUCUGAUCUAGGAGUGUAACAGAGUGCUGCGGCGAGAUCUCAGCUUUCAGGCGCAAACACCCCAACCCGUGAUCUGUUUAUACGAUGGAUCUAAAGUCCUCCGACACGCUGCUGCCCGGUCCAGGAAGGUAUGUGAACUUUGAGCAGACAAUGUUGGUUCGUUCUCGGUGGAGGUACAGUGGGUCACUAGAUAGUGGAUACUGGAUACAAUAGCAGCAGGUGGAUGUGUACGUAAUUGUACUUAUCCUGUGCUUUCUUGUGAUUGUAAACCUAAUCACAUUCUAGAUUGAUUGAUUCAUAUUGCCUUCCAUAAUUAGAAUAACUGGUGUUGUUUAUGAUGGUAUGCAUUAUCUUCUCUCCAGUUCUAGCUGCUCAACUUGCAUAUUUUACAACAAGCCCAAAAGACACACACUAUUUUAUGGAUAUUUACAUUAGCUUUUCAUCCUUUAGUGGUGAAAACAGUUUCCCAAAUUUUCUUUCCUUGUUCAUUCUUAUAUUAAUUUUUUUGUAAUGAUUUUCAUGACAAUCCACACACACACAGAGAUGCAAUAUUUAUUGAUAUGAUUUUUUGGUGGAAACAAACCGGAGGAAGUGAUGCACAACUCAGAAAAAGGUAAGUGAUGUGAAAUUUCUAGGUGCAUUGCUAUUUACACUACCAUGCAAUGACAUUCAAAUACGUAUUAAGCAUGUCCUUAAUAAAGUUUCACAUGCCAUUUUCUAUUAGAGUACUCCGAUCCAAGCUGGAUAUGUAGCUAGCCUCUCCUAAUCUGCCUGUAAAAGACACUCUCCUAAUCUUCCCAUGCUUUCAGUUUCUUCGGUAUCGGAGUUCUCAUCUAUUCUUUGAGAUUUCCAAAAAUUUGUGGUCUCCUUCCUGUUAUGUCACUAUUAAGUCUUCGGUUCAACGUGACACAUGCAGGGCCACCUUAAGUGCUCAACUGCCACAUCUAGCGGGAUAUGGAGAGGGACACGGAGAGUAUAUGCGUACCGAUGGUUGCGGGUUGAUGAAUACGGACCUGCUGAUGCAGUGAUCACUUCUGACAUUACCAGUUCCUGCACUCCUGGACUCCUCCUUUACCAACGACCCACAUGCAAAAUAACGUAAGCUGUCAGGCUCCAACUUGAUAAUCUAGAUGACAUGGUCACUAUACUGAGAACUGUUUUCCUUCAAAUGUAGAAAAAAAUGUUGCUCAAUCUGCUAUUUACAGAAAAAUGAGUAGCUGGCACUUGCUUCUAUUAAAUAGACAGUCAAUUUGUAGUAUGCAUCAGUACCACAAAAAGCCUUUUAGGUUGCCUGUCAGUUUAAAUUAUUUCUAUAAUGGUAAAUAGAUAGUCAAUUUGUAGUAUGCAUCAGUACCACAAAAAGCCUUUUAGGUUGCCUGUCAGUUUGUAUUAUUUCUAUAAUGGUGAUUGGAUAUUGUGGGCUCUACCUGUCAUUUUAGCAUGCUACAGAUUUCUGCCUAAGGUGAUUAUCAGCUUGAAUUUGAGCAGAAGGCUAAAGCUGUUCUUGGAACUUACAACAAGGUUGUCUUUCCAAAUGAAAAAAGAUGACAAAGCUCUAUUUUUUUGAA